CUACCCUUGACAUGUCUGGGAGCCUGCUGAGAGGCGGGUGUGCCUGAAAGGGAACCGGAACACAGGUGCUGCAUGGCUGUCGUCAGCUCGUGUCGUGAGAUGUUGGGUUAAGUCCCGCAACGAGCGCAACCCUUGUCCCUAGUUGCUACGCAAGGGCACUCUAGGGAGACUGCCGGUGACAAACCGGAGGAAGGUGGGGAUGAUGUCAAGUCCUCAUGGCCCUUAUGGGUAGGGCUUCACACGUCAUACAAUGGCCGGUACAGAGGGUUGCCAAAGCGCGAGCUGGAGCCAAUCCCCAUAAAAGCCGGUCGUAGUCCGGAUUGCAGUCUGCAACUCGACUGCAUGAAGUCGGAAUCGCUAGUAAUCGCGGAUCAGCAUGUCGCGGUGAAUACGUUCCC
rnacentral:rRNA from 1 species